rnacentral:rRNA from 1 species
GCUACAGGCUUAACACAUGCAAGUCGAGGGGAAACGACAUCGAAAGCUUGCUUUUGAUGGGCGUCGACCGGCGCACGGGUGAGUAACGCGUAUCCAACCUGCCCACCACUUGGGGAUAACCUUGCGAAAGUAAGACUAAUACCCAAUGAUAUCUCUAGAAGACAUCUGAAAGAGAUUAAAGAUUUAUCGGUGAUGGAUGGGGAUGCGUCUGAUUAGCUUGUUGGCGGGGUAACGGCCCACCAAGGCGACGAUCAGUAGGGGUUCUGAGAGGAAGGCCCCCCACAUUGGAACUGAGACACGGUCCAAACUCCUACGGGAGGCAGCAGUGAGGAAUAUUGGUCAAUGGGCGAGAGCCUGAACCAGCCAAGUAGCGUGCAGGAUGACGGCCCUAUGGGUUGUAAACUGCUUUUAUAAGGGAAUAAAGUGAGUCUCGUGAGACUUUUUGCAUGUACCUUAUGAAUAAGGACCGGCUAAUUCCGUGCCAGCAGCCGCGGUAAUACGGAAGGUCCGGGCGUUAUCCGGAUUUAUUGGGUUUAAAGGGAGCGUAGGCCGGAGAUUAAGCGUGUUGUGAAAUGUAGACGCUCAACGUCUGCACUGCAGCGCGAACUGGUUUCCUUGAGUACGCACAAAGUGGGCGGAAUUCGUGGUGUAGCGGUGAAAUGCUUAGAUAUCACGAAGAACUCCGAUUGCGAAGGCAGCUCACUGGAGCGCAACUGACGCUGAAGCUCGAAAGUGCGGGUAUCGAACAGGAUUAGAUACCCUGGUAGUCCGCACGGUUAACGAUGGAUGCCC